rnacentral:rRNA from 1 species
UACGUAGGGUGCAAGCGUUGUCUGGAAUUAUUGGGCGUAAAGAGCUCGUAGGCGGUUUGUCGCGUCUGCUGUGAAAACUCAGGGCUUAACCCUGAGCCUGCAGUGGGUACGGGCAGACUAGAGUGUGGUAGGGGAGAUCGGAAUUCCUGGUGUAGCGGUGGAAUGCGCAGAUAUCAGGAGGAACACCGGUGGCGAAGGCGGAUCUCUGGGCCAUAACUGACGCUGAGGAGCGAAAGCAUGGGGAGCGAACAGG